ACUGAGGAAAAGGCUUCAGCUCUGCCUGGACCUGGAUGGAGAGUUCCGAUAGUCUUUCUAAAUGGAAUGUGUCCUUCCAUGAUUUUCCAUGCAACUGAAGCUCUGGGCAGCCUCCCCUGAGUCAACAGGCAAAGGGCUGAACCGAUCCUGGCAUUGCAUUGACACUGUCGCUGCAAGGUUAACUCUCAUCUGUUUUGUCCUCUGGGCACAUAUCUGCGUGACUCAAUUUCACUUUCCAGGAAGAGGUAACCCUCCUGAGCCUCCUCCUGGGCUUCCUUCUUGGCAAGAAGAUCUCGUGCCUCCUAGGAAAGCACGCACAGGAAAUCGGGGGAGAAUGGAUUUGAAGCUUGUGGUUGAGUCACAUCAGUUAUCCUGACGUGGACUUCAGAUCUGAAAAGAUGAAAACGCCAUUCAUAUUUUGAUCACCGUGCCAAAGGUUACAUUGGAUAACUGGACAAAAUGUGCUGUAGAAACCUCUGCAAGUGAACUGCUCUGCUCGUCACCUCACGCAGGACUGGUAGGUGCUGUAAGAACAUCUCCAGGAUCCAGCAUACAAGUGGAAGCAGUGGCAGCUCAGGGAGCAUGUUUAUCAUGCAUGUUUAUCAUCCAGCUUUUCUGAUGGAUGUGCAGGCCCCGUGGAACUCCGGGUUGCUAUAGCUACUCCCUUAUCACAACCUGAGCCCUCUGUACACAAAAGACAGCCUGGGAGAUGUUCGUGCCAACUGAAGUCAGUACUGCUCUGAGCCAUGGUCCAGUAGUGACUGCAGACACACCUUGGGAAGAUUGGUACUGGGGCCUGCAGCUCUAUCAGCACUGCCUAGGAGAAGAAAGCUGCAAGAUUCGAGUGGUUUUCCUGCCAGUUCUAUUUCCGGUGGCACAGCGAGCCAGCUCCUGGCUUUGUGCAGAGAGAUGUGCUGGGGGAGAUGGUAAUUAAUGCACCAGGAGCAUCAUUAACAACAUGCCCGGGGCACGCCUGGAUCCAGGCACACUUUCUGUUACUUGCACUCCUUUUUUAACUUCUGUUUUACUUAGGUGGCUUAUUAUCACCAUACAGUGCCUGACUUGUUUGAUUUCGGUUCUUCACAGGCACUUGAAAAUUCAGACAAGAAACCUAUAAAGCUUCGAGUCAGACUGCAAACACCGUUUUCAGGUUGUGAAAACACUGUUUUCGAGACUCGCGUUGGCAGGAAAGGUUUGAUCACAUGUAUAUAUCGGAACAGAAGUAGGAGUGAAAUUCCAAGAUACUUUGGCUUUCUGCUGUCAAAUAUUCCACAGCACAAAGGCAAUACUUAACACUUAGAGGGCGUAACAGCAGCAAAAUGUCCAAACGUCCUAUGUGUCCACAUGUCAAAUCUCUUCUGUGCAUCCUUGCUGUGUCCCCCCAGCAGACUCCCGCACCGCACUAAAUUACCACAAGCAAGCAGUAACCAUGGGCCAGACAUCUUGGAGGAAUGCUUACUUUGCUAUCCAAACCACUCUGAUGUACCGGAACUUUAUGUCACUCCAUAGCUAUGAGCAUGUAAUGGAGAGACUCGAAUGGCCUCAGGACCCGCACCUUGUGAGCCGGCAGGGAGCUGGGCCUGGAGACGUGGCUGCUGAUAUACGUGAAUAUAUGAACAGAACAAGAUGCCUGGCAUUGCCAAAGUACAUCCUGACCUCCCAUCCCUGCCUGACUCCCCCAGCAGUUUCCCUGGAGGUGUGAUUGUUUAUAUGGGCCUCCCUCUCCUAAAGUAUGUUUUUCUAUAUGAUGUUCCUUUUUUUUAUUUUAUCAGCUAUCUCUCUGAUGGAAUUAACACUACAGAGUCAUAGAAAGCUACUACAUUGUUAACAUCUUCGUGCUGUGUUUGGUUACUCUUCAGCAAGCGUGUUUUAAAAGAUGAGAAACCUCUACUGCACUAUUCCUCUGAAGAUAACUGUUAUUAUCAUUUGUGUUGCAUUUAUUCCUAGAAACCCUACUGUGAUCAUACUGGGCAGCUCUGAAAUCCACUGUGAGACUUAGUGGUGCUCAGAUGUUUUUCUCAUCUUGACAGACAAAGCUAGCAAAGGCAGAGCGGCAAUUUGGGCACAGAAACUCAUGUAGCUUCCCCAUGGGGUGGUAACAGUAGGGAUAAAAUCACGUGUCCUGACUCGUGUACAGUCCUCAUUCAAUAAACUGACUCAUCUCUGCUUCUACUCCACAGUUUGAAUUACUUCUGAUAGUUUGUACUGAGAAAACAUUUAUCGGUCCUUUCAGGUUCAAUCAAAUAGCAUGCAGGGUACAGAUCUGUACCACCGAAAUAUCACACGCAUGUAGUCAUCAAAGGUUGCAGAAACUUUUGAAGAGGCUUCAUUUCAGUCACUGGAGGGGAGGUGAAGAGAAAUAAGUGUGAGUGAAAUAAACCUGCAUGAGGAGAAGUCUUGUGGGUAUUUGCAGUUCCAUGUGUUUCAGCACUACUUGGUUCAUUCCUUUUUCCAAGUGCAAAAGAAGUUCUCAGUAUAUCCCAAAAUGAGGUAGGCAAAUGUUAAUGUUCCCAUGACUGCCAACAGGCUUGCUUCAUGAUCUGAACAAAGCUACGCUGGUAACAUUCACAAUGCAAAAUUCACUGAAGCAAGAAUCCUAUCUCAGGAAUGAUUUAGGUUGACAGGAACCUAAACCCUACUGGAAGACAAUGUUCCUGAUUCAGAGGAACAUCAAUCAUUUCCUGAGGGACUCUCACAUCUCUGUGUCCACACACCCUCACCUGUAAAAGGACAGCAAUGUCUGUGUGCAUCACUACAAAGCACCUAACACUCUAUGAAAGUAUUAUCUAAAGGCAAGCUCCAAGCAGAAAAGCAUGGACAGCUUUCAAAGGGAUGCUUCUAUGUCUCUUGUGAGCACGUGUAUACGUGCACAUGGGCAUGCAUGUUUCAGCAUCAGUCCUGGUGCAUUUCAGUGGGUGGCAAAGUGUAAUUUCAUCUGGCCUUUUACUGAACAGCAGAAAUGACAUUUACAAGGCAUUUUUACUUGGCUUAGGGAGAUAUCCUUCACUUGGUGCAUGUAUAAGUUUCAUUAUUAACCCUAUGGAAACUGCUGAGCUGAAUGGAAAGACGGGUUAGAUAGAGAAGUUGAUAGAACUGGAAAAUGUUUUUCUUCCAAGAUUAA